rnacentral:rRNA from 1 species
AUCUACGGCCAUACCACUCUGAACGAGCCCAAUCUCGUCUGAUCUUGGAAGCUAAGCAGGGUCGGGCCUGGUUAGUACUUGGAUGGGAGACCGCCUGGGAAUAACAGAUGCUGUAGGCU